rnacentral:rRNA from 1 species
UACAGAGGUGGCAAGCGUUGUUCGGAAUUACUGGGCGUAAAGGGCGCGUAGGCGGCCUACUAAGUCAGACGUGAAAUCCCCCGGCUUAACCUGGGAACUGCGUCUGAUACUGGAAGACUUGAGUAUGGGAGAGGGAUGUAGAAUUCCAGGUGUAGCGGUGAAAUGCGUAGAUAUCUGGAGGAAUACCGGUGGCGAAGGCGGCAUCCUGGACCAUUACUGACGCUGAGGCGCGGAAGCUAGGGGAGCAAACGGG